GACGAACGCUGGCGGCGUGCCUAAUACAUGCAAGUCGAACGAAGCUUUUUUUACUGGUGCUUGCACCGACUUAAACAACUGAGUGGCGAACGGGUGAGUAACACGUGGGUAACCUGCCCCAAAGCGGGGGAUAACAUUUGGAAACAGAUGCUAAUACCGCAUAACCACAGAAACCACAUGGUUUCUGUGUCAAAGAUGGUUUCGGCUAUCACUUUGGGAUGGACCCGCGGCGUAUUAGCUAGUUGGUAAGGUAAUGGCUUACCAAGGCAAUGAUACGUAGCCGAACUGAGAGGUUGAUCGGCCACAUUGGGACUGAGACACGGCCCAAACUCCGACGGGAGGCAGCAGUAGGGAAUCUUCCACAAUGGACGAAAGUCUGAUGGAGCAACGCCGCGUGAGUGAAGAAGGUUUUCGGAUCGUAAAACUCUGUUGUCAGAGAAGAACGUGUGCGAGAGUAACUGUUCGUGCAGUGACGGUAUCUGGCCAGAAAGCCACGGCUAACUACGUGCCAGCCGCCGCCGUAA
rnacentral:rRNA from 1 species